rnacentral:sRNA from 1 species
UUUUUGCGUUAGGGAUUGAAAUGAAAAUCCUUUAAGAGUUUUUGAAGAAAACUUUUAAAGAUUGCAAUGUAAAGCCCGACCCGCA